rnacentral:rRNA from 1 species
AGAGUUUGAUCAUGGCUCAGAGCGAACGCUGGCGGCAGGCUUAACACAUGCAAGUCGAGCGGGCGUAGCAAUACGUCAGCGGCAGACGGGUGAGUAACGCGUGGGAACGUACCUUUUGGUUCGGAACAACACAGGGAAACUUGUGCUAAUACCGGAUAAGCCCUUACGGGGAAAGAUUUAUCGCCGAAAGAUCGGCCCGCGUCUGAUUAGCUAGUUGGUGAGGUAACGGCUCACCAAGGCGACGAUCAGUAGCUGGUCUGAGAGGAUGAUCAGCCACAUUGGGACUGAGACACGGCCCAAACUCCUACGGGAGGCAGCAGUGGGGAAUAUUGGACAAUGGGCGCAAGCCUGAUCCAGCCAUGCCGCGUGAGUGAUGAAGGCCCUAGGGUUGUAAAGCUCUUUUGUGCGGGAAGAUAAUGACGGUACCGCAAGAAUAAGCCCCGGCUAACUUCGUGCCAGCAGCCGCGGUAAUACGAAGGGGGCUAGCGUUGCUCGGAAUCACUGGGCGUAAAGGGUGCGUAGGCGGGUCUUUAAGUCAGGGGUGAAAUCCUGGAGCUCAACUCCAGAACUGCCUUUGAUACUGAGGAUCUUGAGUUCGGGAGAGGUGAGUGGAACUGCGAGUGUAGAGGUGAAAUUCGUAGAUAUUCGCAAGAACACCAGUAGCGAAGGCGGCUCACUGGCCCGAUACUGACGCUGAGGCACGAAAGCGUGGGGAGCAAACAGGAUUAGAUACCCCGGUAGUCC